rnacentral:rRNA from 1 species
UACGUAGGGUGCAAGCGUUGUCCGGAAUUAUUGGGCGUAAAGAGCGUGUAGGCGGUCCGGUAAGUCAGCUGUGAAAGUCAAGGGCUCAACCCUUGAAAGCCGGUUGAUACUGUCGGGCUAGAGUCCGGAAGAGGCGAGUGGAAUUCCCGGUGUAGCGGUGAAAUGCGCAGAUAUCCGGAGGAACACCAGCGGCGAAGGCGGCAUCCUGGACUGGUCCUGACACUCAGGAGCGAAAGCGUGGGGAGCGAUCCGG